GAUGAACGCUGGCGGCGUGCCUAAUACAUGCAAGUCGAGCGAACGGACGAGAAGCUUGCUUCUCUGAUGUUAGCGGCGGACGGGUGAGUAACACGUGGAUAACCUACCUAUAAGACUGGGAUAACUUCGGGAAACCGUAGCUAAUACCGGAUAAUAUUUUGAACCGCAUGGUUCAAAAGUGAAAGACGGUCUUGCUGUCACUUAUAGAUGGAUCCGCGCUGCAUUAGCUAGUUGGUAAGGUAACGGCUUACCAAGGCAACGAUGCAUAGCCGACCUGAGAGGGUGAUCGGCCACACGGGAACUGAGACACGGUCCAGACUCCUACGGGAGGCAGCAGUAGGGAAUCUUCCGCAAUGGGCGAAAGCCUGACGGAGCAACGCCGCGUGAGUGAUGAAGGUCUUCGGAACGUAAAACUCUGUUAUUAGGGAAGAACAUAUGUGUAAGUAACUGUGCACAUCUUGACGGUACCUAAUCAGAAAGCCACGGCUAACUACGUG
rnacentral:rRNA from 1 species